UACGUAGGGGGCAAGCGUUGUCCGGAAUUACUGGGCGUAAAGAGCGUGUAGGCGGCCAAACAGGUCCGUUGUGAAAACUGGAGGCUCAACCUCCAGACGUCGACGGAAACCGUGUGGCUAGAGUCCGGAAGAGGAGAGUGGAAUUCCUGGUGUAGCGGUGAAAUGCGCAGAUAUCAGGAAGAACACCAAUGGCGAAGGCAGCUCUCUGGGACGGUACUGACGCUGAGACGCGAAAGCGUGGGGAGCGAACAGG
rnacentral:rRNA from 1 species